rnacentral:rRNA from 1 species
UGCCAGCCGCCGCGGUAAUACGGAGGGCGCAAGCGUUGUUCGGAAUCAUUGGGCGUAAAGCGCGUGUAGGCGGUUCGGUAAGUCGGGUGUGAAAUCCCGGGGCUCAACCCCGGAACUGCACUCGAAACUGUCGGACUAGAGUCCCGGAGAGGAUGGCGGAAUUCCCGGUGUAGAGGUGAAAUUCGUAGAUAUCGGGAGGAACACCAGUGGCGAAGGCGGCCAUCUGGACGGUGACUGACGCUGAGACGCGAAAGCGUGGGGAGCAAACAGGAUUAGAUA